CAACAUUAGAAAGGGUUCAAAUGAAAUGCAGUUUAUGCAGACAUGGUUUGAUCACCUGAAAGCCAGUUGGAGCUCCCCGAGCUCGCUGUCUUUGAGCGUGAAGUCAUCUUCCAACUUCUCUACGAUCACAGAGUACGACUCACCCACCUUCUUCUUCCACUCGUCUUCAUCAGGUCCAGAUAAAGCGGGGAUCAUGGCUGAGGGCUAAAAAUAAUCUCCUCUGAGUGGAAUGCCCGACAACUAUGACAACUGAUCUCCCUCCAAAUGCAACCAGACGCGUUUCACUGUGACUGUGUCCGUCAGAACCACCACGUCCCAAAACUUACCGGGCUGCACCUCUCCAGCUGCAGGCAGAGAAAAAGCAUGUAUUUAUGACACAGGAGGAAGGAAGGAUAGCUAGUAAAAUAAUACAAGACAGGAAGUGGUGAUAUCACAGCAGGAAGAUCAUGGAACACAAUACCUGGUCUGACAGGAGGUGGAACGUCUGCUCUGCGGCUACGCUGACAUUCAUCUCCACCUUGAAGCACAACAUGUGGUUUUCCUCCAGCGUGUACAGUCUGACCUGAGAACGCAGCAGAAACACAAUGAGACGUUGAGCUUUUGUGUCUAUAAAUAGGAUUUCACAUUAUUCCAAUGUGCGCACAUCGAGUUUGAUUGCUGUCAAAACUGCCACAUAAACUGGUGGGAGCAUGAGGGAUUAUAAAUAUGGUAAUCAUACAUAUUUUGAGGGUGGCUACAUUCAACUCUUUUCUCAAAAUGUCUGAAAGAUGACUUGUAGAGAGGGAUGGAGCAGAGGAAGGUUUAAGGUUUUGGCUUUAGACAAUGUUUUCUGACUUAUCUUCCAUUACUCCACAAUUUAAUUGAAAAAUAUGGGCCUUCCUCCAGGGCAGACUGUGUGACGGGGCAGCUUGUCUAACACAAUACAGAUCAGAAUGCAUGGAGGAUUCACAACAGCUGUAACCAUUUAAAAAGCUAUAUCCUGGAUGCUAAGACAAACAUUACUGACCUUGUUUUUCUCAGAGGAUAAUACCCAGUUGUUUCUGGUAUCCAUUAGUUUCAGUGCGGAUACAUUAUUGUAGCUCAGGUACAUCUAAGAAAACAAAAGGGACAGUCUGAAUAUAUAUUGGUAAAAAAUCUAGGCUCAAUAAGUGUAUGUGUGCAAGAAAAUAGCAAUACCUGGUUACUUGGGUCCCAGGGCACAGAGACAGGCACUUCAGUUUGCUUGCAGGAGAUAAUGUAUUUCCUGUAAACAUGCAGGGCACAAGGAUUCAGGGACAACAGAAAAAAACCCAGAGAACCAGACCAAUAUAAAGCUUAUCAUUCUAGCAAUGAGCCAACACAUUUAGUUAACAAAUAGUGGAAGAAAGAUUAUACUGCAGUCAGGGUAUUUCACAGUUGAACAAUGAGGUUAUUAUGCCUAACAGACUCAGGUCUGCUCUGCUGUGAUAUGCUUUUCUGCCAAGUCACUCGCUGCUGCAGAAUAUUGUAAUAGAUUCUGUCGGACAAAGCAGAGAAAGGACGACUGUGUCUGUACGACUUCCAAUGCCUUUCUACAGUAUUCAUAGACUAAAGGUUGUGUUUGUCUCUUUUAUGUUUGCCCUGCUUGUGUUUGCAUCAUUUGGUGUCGUGAAAGGCGCCUCCAAAUGAAAUGUAGUAUUAUUUGUUCAAUGUAUUAAAUAAAGGGCCACUUACGG